CCUGGUUAAUCCUACUAGUAGUCAUAUGCUUAUCUCAAAGAUUAAGCCAUGCAUGUGUAAAUAUAGACCAAUUCAAACUGUGAAGCUUCGAAUGGCUUAUUAAAUAAGUCAUAGUUUAUUUGAUGGUAUCUACUACUUAGAUAACUAUAGUAAUAGUAGAGCUAAUACAUGCAACAAAACUUGACUUUUGGACAAGAUGCAAUUAUUAGAUAAAUGGUCGACACAGGCUUUGCCCAUUGCCCUAAUGAUUCUUGAUAACUCGACAAAUCACAUAGCCUUUGUGCUGAUGACACAUUAUUCAAAUUUUAGUCCUAUCAAUUUUCAAUGGUAGCAUAGUGGCCUACUAUAGUGGUGACGGGUAACAAAAAAUUAGUGUUAAAUCUUGGAGAUGGAGCCUAAGAAAUGUCUACCACAUCCAAAGAAGGCAGUAGGUCAUAAAUUACCUAAUUCUGACAUGGAGAGGUAGUGACAAUAAAUAACAAUACCAAGAUCUAUGAGUCUGAUAAUUAGAAUGAGUACAAUCUAAAUCCCUUAAAAAGGAUCCAUUAUAGGGCAAGUUUGGUACCAGCAACUGUAGUAAUUCUAGCUCCAAUAGCAUAUAUUUAAGUUAUUGUAGUUAAAAAGCUCAUAGUUAGAACUAGGGUUAGGUUAUUUGGUAUGCCUUACAGUGAGCACCAGUUUACUCAUCCUUACUAUCACUGAUGCGGUCCUGGCCUUAAAUAGCUGGGACAUUCCUCUAGCACUGCUACUUUGAAGAAAUUAGAGUGCUCAAAGUAGGCCUACCUUUGUAUACAUUAGCAUCAGAUAACAUCAUAGAAUUUUGGUCUUAUUAUGUUGGCCUUCAAGAUCAGAGUAAUGAUUAAUAGGGAUAGUCAGGGGCAUUCGUAUUUCAUAGUAAGAGGCAAAAUUCUUGGACUUAUGAAAGACAAACAACUAUAAAAGCAUUUGCCAAUGAUGUUUUUAUUAGUCAAGAAUGAAAGUUGAGGGCUCAAUGAUAAUCAGGUACCAUUCUUGUCUCAACCAUAAAUGAUGUCAACUAGGGAUCAACAAAAGUUACUUUUAGGACUCCAUUGAUAGCUUAAGAGAAAUCAAAGUCUUUCUGUUCUGGGGGUAGUAUGGUCAUAAGGCUAAAACUUAAAGAAAUUGAUGAAAAGGCACCAUCAGGAAUGAGCCUGCGGCUUAAUUUGACUUAAGAUAGGGAAACUUAUUAGGUCCUAACAUUAUGAGGAUUAAUUGAUUGGAGCUCUUUCUUGAUUUUAUGGUUGGUGGUUCAUGGCCAAUUUUAGUUGGUGGAGUGAUUUGUCUAGUUAAUUUCGUUAACGAACUGAAAUAAAAAAGAGCACAUGUGCCAUCACCAUCCCAAUCGUGGUGCAUGCAUAUGGAGCACCAUGACUCCUUUUGUCAUGAAAAACCAAAAUGACUCUCGACAAUGGAUAUCUCAGCUCUCCCAUUGAUGAAGAACAUAGUGAAAUACGAUACUUGGUGUGAAUUAUAGAAUCUUAUGAACCAUCGAGUCUUUGAACGCAAGUUGUCCCCAAGUUAUUAGGCCAAGCGUACACCUACUGGGUGUCAUACAUCAUCAUGCCCUCUAACCCCCAACCUAUCAAGCUCUGGGAAAGGGGUUAAAGAUGGCCUCUUAUGAUCUCACCGAUCAUGGUUGGCCUAAAAAUGAGUCCCUAGCAACGAUAGCACCGUGACCAUCAAUGGUAAAGCUCCUAGCCUACCUUGUCUCCAAUGACGUGAG
rnacentral:rRNA from 1 species